GUUGAACCUCAGGGCAGAGCCAGAAGCCAAAUCCAAAUGACAGUUUGUAUAGACUGUCCUGCCUCCACCUAUCUGGGCAGGGGCUGGUAUGAUCUGUACCACUUGGAGUCAGACCCCACCCUCACACCCUUAGGUUCUGGUCCUUGGUGGGAGGGAGGCAAUGAGGAAUGGAACACUUAGAGCCAAGGAAGGCGAGGGGGCAGACUAAUCACCCCAGUGCACCUAUUCACCUGUUGCUCCCACAGGCCAGGGCUCGGCCACGCACAGUGAGGAUCAUGGAAGAGUCAAUGCCACAUACAACCCAUUGGGCUUCCUGUCCUGGGGGCAUGGGCACCUGUUGGGGGCAGCUAUGAGACUCCCUGGUGCCUAGUCCCAGCCUCCCUAUAAGAAGAAACCGGGAUAAUGUUAGUUUGAGUUUUAGGGUUGGUGAUAUGAGAAUGAGAAGAGCUACUGAGGAUUGAACAGCACAAGCAAAGGCUAUCCUCAGCCUCGAAUGCCUCUCCUAGUCCUCUCUGCUAGUAACAAUCCUCCUUUAAACUCCUCUUCAGCCAGGCGUGAUGUUGAGCACCUGCAAUCCCAGCACUCAGGAGGCUGAGGCAGGAGGAUCACUGUGAGUUCAAGGCCAGCACAGACUUCAAAGUGAGACUCUUAUCUCAAAAAAAAACCAAACAACCAAAUUAAACUUAAAAUAAAUAAAAGUAAAGCCCUGUUCUAUACCACCACUCUCUACUUUAGGUGACACUGCUAUUCCUUGAAUUCCCACACCUCCAAACCUUGGUGUGGUCGGCUCACAUGCUGGAGGUGAGUCAUCUGUCCCUAGCUGUAAACUGAGUCCUCUAUGAGGACAGGAACCUAUCUUUGUCAUCUCUAGUUUCAGUGUCCAGCCUGAUGCUCGCCCCAAAAAGGAGCUCAAUAAAUACUGUUGGACUGGGGGUUUAGCUCAGUGGUGGAGCAUGUGCUUAGCCUGUGCUAGGCCCAGUUUUGAUUCCCAGCACAGAAAGAAAGAAAAGAAAAAAAAGAAAAGGAAAGAAAAGAACAAAGAGAGAAGGAAGCAGGGAAGGAGGGAGAGGGAGGGAGGGAAGGAAGGAGGGAAGAAAGAAGGAAGGAAGAGAGAAAAGGAAAGGAAGAGAGAGAAGAGACGAGGCUGUGGAUGAAUGAAAACUCCCCUAUUACGUCAGUCACAAGCACCUGAAGACAGCCACAUCUUAUUCAUCCCAUCUCAGCACUCAGAGUGGGUACCGGGGAUCAAACUCAGGACCUUGCUCUUUCAAGUUCCUCCCUCAGAGCCCUGGCUCACCCGAAGGCACCUCUCCCCACCACUCGGAUCCGCUCGUACUUCUCCAUCUCAUUUCUCAGAGAUACGCAUCCGGAACCUCCGGCGCGGCGCGUGCGCGGACCUGCCCACUCAGGAGCCCCGCCCUCUACGUUGUGAGAUGUUUGCUGGGCGGAGCUAGCGGAGUUGUGUGAGUUCCAACUAUCGUGGCAUCUGUGUUUGUGGACUUGCAGUGUCCACAACACGGGUACGAAUUCGCUUUUCCCUCACGAUCUUGCCCCACGUGUGGCCCAGGAAUAGGAUAACGCCCAUUUCUUUACGCAUUCCGCAGUGCUCAGUACGGUACCAGGUGCUUUUCACUUGGCUCGAUCCGAUCGGCUCUUGCGGACCUUAAUAGAGGCGAGGUAUACCCUGCCUGCAAGCGUUGGCUUCCGAAGGCCGAAAAGGAGAGACAAGCGAGGAUCGACCUCCCGCUGCCCACGAGUGACGCGCUUUCAGGAGGAUAAAAGCAAAUCCUCAUUGGCACGCAAGCAAGAAACAACCAAACUGAACUGAGAGCAGCUCUCAGUCUGUGGAACAGAGAACGGGUAGUUUCGUGUUUGCCUAGGGAGGGACCGGGAAAACCCCGAGUUGUGCAAAUUGAUUCACCUGGGGAGGACGUGACGCGAUCUCCAGGCUGAGCAGACUGAGCACCGCGCUAGUCGCGCGCUCAGCGCCCAGUCACCCCAUCUACGCAGCAGCUGGAGGAUCAGCCCCUCCCCUAGGGGAAGGUGGGAGUGGGUGCGGACCAAUAAUUGGAAAGCGUCUGGGAGGACUGGAAAGCACAAAGCACGCUGUUUGGCCGAGAUAGGUUCAACACUUCUGCCCAGCCCGGCGUGGUAAUGGAUGCCUGUAAUCGCAGCACUUGGGAGGCUGAGGCGGCAGGAUUGCGGAAUUUGAGGCCAGCCUGGGCUACAUCGCGAGACCCUGUCCUAAAAAAACAAAAACACACAACGAGAAAUGAAACAACCAACAAACCUCUUCUGCCCAGAGUUUAGGGUUAGGUUAAGAUUAGGGCUAGUCUGACCCGCUAGGAUCUCAGGAUCUCAACUCAGAAGUGAGUUUAAUUCCAGCCUCUUCCUGGCGCCACCGGCUCUGCCAGAGCUCUAUAAAAACUUAGUAGUAUUAAAGAGGAAGAUGGUCAUUAAUUAGCAAAGGGUUAACAUCCCUAUUUUAGAGUGGGUGAAGAGCUGGGUUUGGCACAUGCCUGUAAUCCCAGCACUUGCGAGGUUGAGGCAAGAAGAUCGUCGUCUGCGAGACCCUGUAUCCAAAAAAAAAAAAAAAAAAAGCAAGGAAGGCAAGGAGGUGUUUUAUCCUCUGCUGCCGCCUCGCCCACGUGGGACACUGGACGACCAGGCGCCUGGCAGUCGCUGGUGGCCACUGGCUCAGGCUGGAGUCAGUUGGCAGAAAAGCUGCCCUGUAAGCCAAGGGAACUGCAGAGGGGGGAAGCCACUCACCCAGUUCUUCAUGCUCUCGCUUAGAAACCAAAUGAGCCUUGGGUGCCUGGCAGCCCCACGGGGUUAAUGUGUAACCUUGGAGCGCUCAGGGGAGACAGCAAACAUCCAACCGACUUGGUGUUUGAACCUCGGGUUUUCACCUUUUUCACGCAGCACCCUUCUCACACCCACUUCUCCUUUCUCUCUUCUCCACUGCUGCACACACACCUCUUACUCUCCCAGCCGUUCUCAGCCUCAUCCUUUGGGAUAGGGGAGUGAUGACGAACCUUGUUAGAGACCGAGUGUCCAAACUGCAACCCAAAACCCACUUAUUUAUUGCAAAGUGCCAACACUGCAACUAAACCUGAAUACUGAGGUUUUUGGUUAAGAAAAAACAACUCAUACAUUUACAUCUUUUGUCUUAAAAAAUAAAAAAACAACAGAGCUUUCAAUGA